rnacentral:snRNA from 1 species
GUUCACUUUGGCAGAACAUGUACUAAAAUAGGAAUGAUACAGAGAAAAUUAGCAUGGCCCAUACAAAAGGAUGAUACAGAAAAUUGUUAAGUGCUCCAUUUUUCA